CUGCUUGUGUAGGAUAGGUGGGAGGCUUUGAAGCGUGGACGCCAGUUCGCGUGGAGCCAUCCUUGAAAUACCACCCUGGCAUGCUUGAGGUUCUAACUCUGGUCCGUCAUCCGGAUCGAGGACAGUGGUAUGGUGGGCAGUUUGACUGGGGCGGUCUCCUCCUAAAGAGUAACGGAGGAGUACGAAGGUGCGCUCAGACCGGUCGGAAAUCGGUCGUAGAGUAUAAAGGCAAAAGCGCGCUUGACUGCGAGACA
rnacentral:rRNA from 1 species